CAAUAGCGUAUAUUAAAGUUGUUGCAGUUAAAAAGCUCGUAGUUGGAUUUCGGGGCAGCCUGGCUGGUCCGCCGCAAGGCGAGUACUGGUCAGCCGCCCUUCCUCUCGAAAGCCCCGACUGCUCUUCGUUGCAGUGGUCGGGUAGUUCGGGACGUUUACUUUGAAAAAAUUAGAGUGUUCAAGGCAGGCCUACGCCUGAAUACAUUAGCAUGGAAUAAUGGAAGAGGACCUCGGUCCUAUUUUGUUGGUUUCCAGGGCCGAAGUAAUGAUUAAGAGGGACAGUUGGGGGCAUUCGUAGUUAAUUGUCAGAGGUGAAAUUCUCGGAUUUAUGGAAGACGAACAACUGCGAAAGCAUUUGCCAAGGAUGUUUUCAUUAA
rnacentral:rRNA from 1 species